rnacentral:rRNA from 1 species
UGAGGAAUUUUGCGCAAUGGGAGCAAUCCUGACGCAGCAACGCCGCGUGGGUGAUGAAGGCCUUCGGGUCGUAAAGCCCUGUCAGGUGGGAAGAAUGUACCGGGACUGAACAGGUUUUGGGAGUGCCGGUACCACCAGAGGAAGCACCGGCUAACUCCGUGCCAGCAGCCGCGGUAAUACGGAGGGUGCAAGCGUUAUUCGGCAUUACUGGGCGUAAAGCGCGUGUAGGCGGUCCGGCAAGUCUGAUGUGAAAGCCCCGGGCUUAACCCGGGAAG